UUCGCAGCGCGUGUUUCAUGACGAUAUUGCCGAAACUGACGCCUUUCAGGCGCGCGGUGCGGAUGUAUUGCGCGGUCAUGACCUCGGCCAUCGAGGCGCGCGUCAUCCGGGCGAUAUAGCCCAUGCCGUAAAGGGCGAUGGUCAGCACCGGCAGAAAGAAAUUCUCGAAUGUCGCAUUG
rnacentral:ncRNA from 1 species